CGGACGGGAGCUUGCUCCCUUAGGUCAGCGGCGGACGGGUGAGUAACACGUGGGUAACCUGCCUGUAAGACUGGGAUAACUCCGGGAAACCGGGGCUAAUACCGGAUGCUUGAUUGAACCGCAGGGUUCAAUCAUAAAAGGUGGCUUUUAGCUACCACUURCAGAUGGACCCGCGGCGCAWUAGCUAGUUGGUGAGGUAACGGCUCACCAAGGCGACGAUGCGUAGCCSACCUGAGAGGGUGAUCGGCCACACUGGGACUGARACACGGCCCAGACUCCUACGGGAGGCAGCAGUAGGGAAUCUUCCGCAAUGGACGAAAGUCUGACGGARCAACGCCGCGUGAGUGAUGAAGGUUUUCGGAUCGUAAAACUCUGUUGUUAGGGAARAACAAGURCCGUUCGAAUAGGGCGGUACCUUGACGGUACCUAACCAGAAAGCCACGGCUAACUACGUGCCAGCAGCCGCGGUAAUACGUAGGUGGCAAGCGUUGUCCGGAAUUAUUGGGCGUAAAGCGCGCGCAGGCGGUUUCUUAAGUCUGAUGUGAAAGCCCCCGGCUCAACCGGGGAGGGUCAUUGGAAACUGGGGAACUUGAGUGCAGAAGAGGAGAGUGGAAUUCCACGUGUAGCGGUGAAAUGCGUAGAGAUGUGGAGGAACACCAGUGGCGAAGGCGACUCUCUGGUCUGUAACUGACGCUGAGGCGCGAAAGCGUGGGGAGCGAACAGGAUUAGAUACCCUGGUAGUCCACGCCGUAAACGAUGAGUGCUAAGUGUUAGAGGGUUUCCGCCCUUUAGUGCUGCAGCAAACGCAUUAAGCACUCCGCCUGGGGAGUACGGUCGCAAGACUGAAACUCAAAGGAAUUGACGGGGGCCCGCACAAGCGGUGGAGCAUGUGGUUUAAUUCGAAGCAACGCGAAGAACCUUACCAGGUCUUGACAUCCUCUGACAACCCUAGAGAUAGGGCUUCCCCUUCGGGGGCAGAGUGACAGGUGGUGCAUGGUUGUCGUCAGCUCGUGUCGUGAGAUGUUGGGUUAAGUCCCGCAACGAGCGCAACCCUUGAUCUUAGUUGCCAGCAUUCAGUUGGGCACUCUAAGGUGACUGCCGGUGACAAACCGGAGGAAG
rnacentral:rRNA from 1 species